ACUCCUACGGGAGGCAGCAGUAGGGAAUCUUCCACAAUGGACGCAAGUCUGAUGGAGCAACGCCGCGUGAGUGAAGAAGGUUUUCGGAUCGUAAAGCUCUGUUGUAAGAGAAGAACGUGUGUGAGAGUGGAAAGUUCACACAGUGACGGUAACUUACCAGAAAGGGACGGCUAACUACGUGCCAGCAGCCGCGGUAAUAC
rnacentral:rRNA from 1 species